rnacentral:lncRNA from 1 species
UUCGUUCAAAAUAUUCACGGAUAAAUAAAUUCAAUUUUAAUUUUUUCUAAUAUUACAAAUUUAGAUAAUUUAUCCGUUUUUUAAAUAUUUAGAUAAACGCUUAUCUAAACUACGCGCUUGAAUUUUUUACGUUUGUUUACCGACCUCGGUGUCUUAUCUAUAGAAAAAAAAAGAUAAGGUAAUAGAUAAUAGGAGACAAUAAGAAUUGUUUCUCUUAUCUAUCUCAGAUGUUUCAUAAACUUUAUUUAAAUAAUAGCUCUAAUCGAAUCGAUACAUCUUUUGUCUAGCUAGGAUCGAAGAAUAAUAUCUUUAUACUUUUGACGCCUUCUCACCCAGGUUAAACAAAGGUCACAAGAAAUGAGUUUAAGUUAACAAACGCUUUAAGGUAAAAGGGUCGAAUUGCUAUCGUUUACAAUAGAGAAACAGUUGCCGAAACUUCUUUGUUUAAGAAGUGUUACAUAUGCUAUUCCGGUGAAUGAAGGUCGGAGGAGUUUAAAUGUCGAAGGAAAGGGAGAGUUAUGUUUUCGGAUGGGUUAUUUUUUUGGAAACGUUUAGUAAACCUAAAUACCGAUCUUCGCAAUUUUGAAUGAAUGAUGGAAUUGGGGUGAAGGUUGAAUAAUAUGAGGUGAUAAGUAACACCAUUAUACCAUGUUGAGGAAGUAAACAAUUGUGGUAUUGAGCAUAUCUUAGGCGAAAAAUUGAUUUAAUCGAUGACGAUUGACUUUUUCAAACGAUUGAAAAGUGAAAAGCGUGCAAUGAGAUUCAUAGGAGCUUUUUUAGUUUUUCGACAGCCUUUUAAAUCCUUAUCAAAGCUCGUUUAAUGAAUAAUAAGUGAAUUAUUAAUAUUAACACGAAUGAAACCAUUACUGAAAAGUGUCACGUCGAAAAAAGUAAAAUUGAUGGUUAUUACAUUUGUGAAUGGAUCAGUCUCUGCAGGUGGGCUCGCCUAAUGUUUGGCUUGGACCACCUUUCCAAAUACUUACUAUUCAGGCCACGUGUUUAAAUAAAUCAUACAUAAGCCAACCAAGUGGGGCGUCGAAUCAACGUUUUUUUAACAUAGAGAAGAGGAUGGAUAGAGUUGACGUCAACCACCCUCUUGGCGGUAGACACUCCCCAUAACCCUUUUCCCCUCAUCCCCGAUUCUAUUUUUAUAUCCUCUCAAUCUUCCGUCGACUCAGAUGUGACUUGUCUCUUAAAGAAGUAACAUGUCUGCCAUUCUGAUGGGUUAUGUUAUCAGGAUUAAAAAACAAACUAAACAUCCUCAACAUCAUAAACAGGUGAGAAUAUAGAAUUAUCUUAAACGUGAAUGUCAUGCUAAACGGUUUCCUAAAUUUCUCUGGUAUUUGGGAUUGGGUGGUAGCUAGAAUUUUUCCUUCAAUUCAGGAUGAAAAUAUGAAUAAUCGUAGGAAAGUUAGAGUCGAUAACAGAAAGAUAUAGCCGUGAAAAUUAGUUCAUUCGCUUAUCUUCCUUAAAGCUGUUAAUAUUCAUGCGUUUUACGAGAUUAUUCAAACCGUAAAACUGAAUCUGGGUUUUUUUAUUACAUCAUUUACUUUGUUAAUGAUAGGGCAAAGAGAGAAUUCCGAAAAAAUAAAACAAAAAAAUUAUCGCGUAGGUAAGUAUAGACUCGGGAAUAAAGGAAAAUCUUGCCAUUCUUUAUUUCUGAGGAAUUAUAUGUUAUGGCAGUCGGUAUAAUCAGGCAGUUUCCGGAUUUAUAAGCCGCUUUUAGAUUUGUUAUAUGGCACAUAAUCUGUCAGCCCGUAUAAGGUUCGAGUAUUCGACUCUCCUAUACGAUAAUACUUUUACAGCCCUUUAUCGCUUUUGUCAUCAAUCCUCUUGGCUAGGAAAUGAGGUCUGACCCAAUAACCUUAUAUUUUAUUACUUAAAAUUAGUGUUUUUCAUUUUUUUAUCACAAAAAAUAAACUGCCCAACUGUAAAUACGCAUAUUUAUAGAGAACUGGCGUUUGGACCGAAAUACUCCAAAUUACGCGCAUCCUAUUAAAAACAAACUUGGCUACACUUCCGCCUUUUACUGCGUACACUGUAUAUAAACGAGAAUAUUUUUUCCCCAUCCGAUACUUUUGGUCAAUUAUGUAAAGUAGACCUAUUAAAAAUUAACGGUCUUCUUAAGCAUUCCAUUUAAAUUAUCUUGGCUCUUUAAACUGCCGUUUACUAAAGUGUUGGCAGGCGGUCGAGUUAUUUAAUUAAGGGUUAAACAAUUUGGAGGAACCUGAUAAUCCAUUGUCAAGAUUUUCAUCUCUCUAAUAAAAGAUAACAAAACGAUAAUAGAUUGAUCGAUUCACCGCUAGAGAGUUCCAAGAAAUUAUAUAUUUUGCCAGAUAACUCGCUUAUAUUAUUUAUCCGAGAUAAUUAAACAAUACUGUGUUGAUUUACAACUCGUUUACCAUAUUUUUCUUUAAUCUCUGGCUUUAUCUAGUUGUGUUUAUAAUUUAUGCCGCUAGAUAAUAACUCCGCUGUUAUCUGUAACCGAGACACAGAGAGAGGGAAGGAUUAAAUCAUCAUUAUCCCAUCAUUUGUUUUUAUGCUAAAAAUUGCAAAAUAAAUAAAGCCCAACCUGUGUUUUUGAUGUUGGUAAAAGUCGCUUAUCUGGAAGCGAAUAGGAGAUAAAAGGGGUUAAGCAUUCACCAGACGGUUGGUGUCUUUAUGUGGACGGUAAUUAGACUAAGACCUCGUCCGACUGGCCACGUAACGAGCCAGAUGCUGGCUUAAUGUGGGGAAAAGGAAGCCGCUUAAAUCCGUGUCGGAUGAGGAAAGAGUCUUCAUAAUGACGACUUGGACCAGUUUUGAGGCAUUUAGACCGGUCGUUGCGUGUCUCAUCGCUCCCCAGACACCAAAACUAGCAGUCGUAUUAACUCUUCUAAUACCUCUUCCACUUUGUUUCUGUAAUAUGCGCAUUCGUCAAAGUCUGGUCGAAAUCGUUGGCUGUUGGCACGCGUCCAAAAUCAACUAAGGCGCCGAAACACUCCGUCUUUUUGUUUUCUUACCAACAAUACUUUUUCUACAAUUUCUGCUUAGUGUCUAGCCACACUUAAACUGGUGUCGGAAGUGAAGGAACGAUGUACCUUUCGGCCUGUUUAUCGCUUCUAUUUUUAAAGAGCGAUAAACUGUUGUUUUGGCGCAUUAUAAAAAAUAAUUCUAUCGAUAUUUAUUCUUUUUAUACAUAUAUUUUUUUUAAGUUCUAAAUUACUAAUUCCUUUUAUACAUUAUAUAAUUUCCCUUAGAGCUUUCGAUUGUAUGAAGGGAAAAAAUUUAAUAGCUCUUACUUGUGUAUUAUGGAAAUUUCUUCCGGUUGGAUAGUUCUUUUUAAGAAUGCGCUUUUCCUUUUCGUCUCGAAGAUUAGGAUAAAAAGAUAACUAAAACGAGAGGCUUGCUUAAAGAAGAAACGAUUCCUUUUAAGGCCACGACAGGAUGUCUGUUUAGCACCUUAGUCAACCCAAAAAUGAAUACCGAGAAAAGCGGAUAUUAAGAAAAGAUUGCGCCACGCCAGCUCUUCUCCGAAAACAUUUGUUGGGCUACAACAUCCCGUCCACUUAAAAACUAUAGCGCCUAGAUCAGCUUAUAAAUAUCAUAGUUUAUAUCUCACUUCGACCUUCACGGGAUUCUUUAACGAUGCGAGUAGACCGUUCGGCGGCCAACUGAUCAUGGUGGGGAUUUCCCCCCUCCUUCCACCGCCGAUGGUACGGAAUUUAUAAGACGGGGGAAAUUCUUCGGAGAUUUCCUUCACCUACUAGCGCGUUAUCUGUGACACCUGCACCCAGUUGACAUUCAUCGAUUGUGGGCCGGGAGAUGACACAGUUAUCCGCGCCUAACGGAGGAUAUCUGUCUUCCUUAGCAGAUACGUCUCCAUCUGGCAUGACAGACCGCGGCUGUAAUGACUAGCGUCGCUUAGUGCAUCGUUUAACCUCUUUUCCACCAGAACUGGUAGCGGUCGAUUCUCGACGUUGGCUGGUCGAAAGUACCGGGCCAGUUUCGACUAUCAAACUUAAGUUAUUCUAUCUCGCUUUCUAGAACGAAAAAUGAAAUACGCUACUUCUAAACAACAAAUUCGGUGGUAAAAUCCGGAAAGAAUUUGAAUUUAUAGUUACCAACCGGAAAGAAGGUUAGUCGUCUAGAGUGUUGGCUUAUUUAUCGUUCUUAUUCGGAUCCGUUCCGCUAAAUAUAGUGUCCGUAGGCAGCCGAUUAGGUAAGAAUUAUAUUAUUGGAAUAUUAAUAAACCGACUUUCAAAUCGCCUAAAGACACAGUCGAAGUGAAAGAGCGACGGAUUAAUGUAAAAUAAGUGCUAAGUCGACCCCAAUAGCCAAUAGUCUGUUCCCGAAAGAUUAAUUUCAACAUGUUUACCUACCAGGAAUUAUAUCGAUACGAAGAUACACCCCAACCGAAGGUGGAUACAAGUUAACCCCUCCGGGUACCGAAAGUCCGUAAAUGAUUCUUUUUUUGUCUUCGAUAAGUUGGAGGAUUAUGGCCGACUCGACUAAAAGCUGGUGCUGAUUAUAAACCGGUAGUAAAUCUGCCUGGGAGGAUUUUAUACCUAAGUUAUAAGGGAGGGAACAGUGGGCCCCGGGAUCUGGUUGGCUCCAUUCCGAGAUCCAUUAGCUGUAUGGCCAUCGGUAUUUUAUCCUAAAUUAUCGGGCCGGAUCGGGAUCCCAGAUAAGAGUUAACGGAAACCCAGUUCACUGAUCUUAUCGAAAGGUUCCGAGUGUAAGCCAGCGCUACGUGCCGUGUUUCCCAACAUUCUCUGGAGGCAGCUGGGGCCGGCACCGAAUUAUCCACCGUUUUUACGGUUAUUUUUUGUAUCGAGGAGGAGGAGGAGGAGGAGAGAGUCUAGACUAGGAGCCGAUAACGGAACACAAGCGAAUUUAAGCGGACGUAUUUAUAUUAACCGGUUAAGAGAUUAAACGUUUUUACGGGGAGACAGUUUUCAUUAACACGUCCCCACGGAUUAGCCACUCGGCGCGUCUGGGGUCAAGGUCAGCUGGUAUUAUUUAAAAGUAAUGGUAGCCGACAAUAAGAUGGCGGGAGGACGAGGGGAAUCGCUAGUUACUCUUUUUUUCCCAUACAGAAGGAGACCCUCGUUUUGGCAGCUGGAGGUAAAGUUUCUGGCUCUAACAUCCCCCACCGACAGUUUACCAAUCGUAUUCGACGCUCUUAAAUCUCGUCGACCGGUAAAAGAAGUCGACAGCAAACGGUGCCUUUUCCACAUUUCUGUCAUUUUUCCACUCAUAUUUUACCUUUCGGCCGUCUGUUUGGAAGUUCAACAGAUCUGCCAGCUGAGGGCUGGGUCACGAAAGAGUGGAAAGUUUCGACCUGUAUCUGGAGGCGUAGCGCCUUAUCAUUUCGGCUGGCCACCGAGUCGGAGAGAAGGCAGGCAUCUUUCUGGUGGAAGAGGAGCGGUUCCAGCGGGACGGCGGAGGAAAACACCGGGGAUAGCCAGACGCUAGGCCAUAUAUCACGAUGGGGAUCGAAAGUUCGUUACCCGACAGCCCAAAAGUAAUCGGCCGCACCGCCUAUGGUCCGCCGUUCCAACCUGUGUCAAAUAACCAGUUAGCUCUUCCGCCGGUGGACCGGAACACCUCGUUUUUUUCCAUUUUACCGCUUCCUUUCCAAUAUUAUCGGGUCUCGGGAGAUGGGAUUUAUCUCUAAAUCUCUGGCAUACCAGAAAAAAUUCUGGUAAAAUUGUAUCGGUAAAUAAACUAGAAACCCGUUCUCUCGAUUUUCCGUCUUCUGUCUCGGCUAAAAAAUCCCGGCAAAAAUUGAAUUCUCUUCGCCGGAUAUUCGAUUCCAUGGUUAUUUAAUACUUAAUUUCAACACAAAAUGUUUCCUCAAUUAUUGUUUUAAAUAUUUAAAACUUCAAUGGGAUUCCACGGAUAAGUUAUGGGUAGGUGGCACUUAGUAGGUUGGACCGGACCGCCUCCUCCAUCCAGGGUCUAUAAUUUCGGACGGUUCUUUUAUCACCCGGUUAGCCAGGUCGAGACGGGUGGGAUAAUAAUUCGGCGAUUGGAAGACCGCCGGAUAUUCGAGAGUCGACUCUCCAAUACACUGGGACGGCGACGUCUCGAUACUUAAACAGGAGCGGCCACCAGCCUCACCAUCCAGUUAGUCGGUCCGGGUCUGAUCCGGUCCGUCCCGGAUGGGGAAACGGACCGGUGGAGCCGGAUGACGAACGAUAAUGGAGGCUGGCGGCAGUGGAGAUUGAUGACUCGGUCUGGUUAAGGUGGUCGGCCAGAUGUCGAAUCGAUUAUGGACCGCACCGCCCAACCCGACCAUUCCAGUGUUUAAAGUGUGGGCAAAAACCUCUCCAUUUACAUAAACUUAUCCACCCACCUCCGCCCAUUAAAUUCCUGCAUCAAAUUUUCGCCCACCCCCGUUAAUUUUAGAAUCGGUUAUUUCACUUUCACCUAAUCUGGCACGGUUUAGCCGACUCCGUCCAGAAUUUCCAGGGCGGCCAGUAGACAUCGCCCGUGGGUCCCCGAAUGGUAACUAAUUAAAGAGCCAGCCCACGGACGGUAGCCACCAUUUUUAAAAAGUUACGAAUUAGCCAUUCCUAGUGUGUGUGGUGGGCACCAGAAAUUUUCGGGUCGCGCCUUUCGCUGCCCACGGGUGUAUGGGAGGUCGGCCAUUAUUCUUGACCGAUUAAUCGUCUACUUCUUCCAGUUAAGACACCACUAGUAUAAAUUAUCGAAUUAAAUUAUCGGUGCGUAAGUCGGAGGGUCGUAGGUCGAGUAGACGCUACCACCUUUAAUCGUAUUAGUCGAGAGAAUAAUUGGAAUCUGUGUAGAGUUAAAGGGAGCGGGCGGCCGAGGAAUGUUAGAGAAAUUCUCUCCACCUUCGAGUCGAUUUACCGUGUAUAUUAAGACUUAUAUAUUAGUCGCCAGCUUUUACCUCGCUUCCAGUUUACUUAAUGCGCGAGGCCAGUGGAGGUUCUGUUCCUAAUGGCUCGGUCUGACCUUAACCGUUUCGUUGGCUUUAAUUAUAUAAUUAGAUUAACGAUUAAUCGAGAAAAGUUCUAUCGUCGUUUUCUCCAGAUUUAUAUUCUCGGUCCAGAGUAUCCGUCGGCCGCCAUUUUAAUAUGGCCAACAGAAAUGGUCCGACCAUCUCCACCGGUCUUAAUUUUGUUUCGGCAGCAGCCGCCCAAUAGUUACAAAAUUAUUCUGCAUCCCCUACGCCCCACCGCGCUCAAACACUCUGCCAGAAUCUAAUAAAUAAUCAAUCGUAUAAUUUCGGAGAAUUCGGGUCUCACGCUUCCUGAUUUUCGGGAGGGAUCCGGCCCGUCCGAUCCCGUUUUUCGAUUUUCCGGCGACCCCCACCCCGGCUGCCAGGUCGUAAAAGUGGUUAGCGCCGGAUAAAGCGUAUCUCACCGGGAUACGGUGUUAACCUAGUAAAAUGUAAUUUUAUCUUUCAGGGAAAAGCCAGAAGAGAGUCGCUGGUCAUCGCCAAUCCCGACGAUAACUGUAUCGACU